AUGAAUAUCUCCAAAGUUUCUAACUUACAGUAUAUGCUCACAGAGAGGAAGAGAGUAGCUUACUGUAGGAUGCUAAGAUCUUUCUGCACUGCCAAAGAGAGGAGUGAGAUAUUCGUGCUUUUGUUCAUUUGCAGGACCAUUGUUUCUUUCGUUUUUGUUUCUUAUAACCACAUCAGUGAAAUGCUCUUCAAUCUUAGCCUCCUUUGUUGCCAGGAACAGUGGCGGCUCCAAGAAUUUGCAACCGGGUAUUCAUGUGUAUUCAUUUUGCCAAAAUCAUUGCUGUUUUUCGAAAAUUGUCACUCUUUUGCCAAAAUCAACAUUGUUUUGUAA
rnacentral:rRNA from 1 species